rnacentral:rRNA from 1 species
UACAGAGGUCCCAAGCGUUGUUCGGAUUCAUUGGGCGGAAAGGGUGCGUAGGCGGCGCGGUAAGUCGGGUGUGAAAUCUCGGAGCUUAACUCCGAAACUGCAUUCGAUACUGCCGUGCUUGAGGACUGGAGAGGAGACUGGAAUUUACGGUGUAGCGGUGAAAUGCGUAGAUAUCGUAAGGAAGACCAGUGGCGAAGGCGGGUCUCUGGACAGUUCCUGACGCUGAGACGCGAAAGCGUGGGGAGCGAACAGG